rnacentral:ncRNA from 14 species
ACUUAUACAUGACAACAUAACGGGUUGUCGACCUGCCUUAGGACCCAUCCAAAGACUAUAAGC